AUGGUGAUACAUCUCCAACAAAUAAAAGUUCUCGGAAUGGAACGAAACUUUGUGAGGAAUUUUUGUACAAUAAAAGAGAAUUUCUGGAGCCAAGACCUGCCAGAGAGGGGCACCUGGGUGGGCACAACCUACCAGGGCGCGCCCAGGUGGGUUGUCCCUACCUGGUGGCCCGCUGACCCUGAAACCAACGCUAUAAAAUCUUAUUUCUGGAGAAAAAAUCGCGGAGAAAGAAUUAUCGCGAUCCACGAGACGGAGCCACCGCCAAGCCCUGUUCUUCCUCGGGAGGGCAGAUCUAGAGUCCGUUUGGGGCUCCGGGUGCCAUGA
rnacentral:rRNA from 1 species